UUUAUUGAAUCUCUUAUAAUUGCUUUUAUAUUAAUAGAGUUGGCUUGCCAACUACGACGAUAAACGAAUUUCGUAAUAACCAUUGCGGACGUGGGGGCAGUACCCACCACCUCCACCAUUUACAACUUAUGGGGGUGAACUAGAUUCGACGAGUGACUAAAGGCUAUUCUUUCGUUCGGAAUUGCUCCUCCGUAAAGGGCUAAUUUAUAAUUGCUAACGAAAGUUACGCACUUGCUGCUUAAUUAAUUUAUUAAUUAAGUAAACGGGGUUUGGGGCACCUGGCAACAGAACGCCCCUACU
rnacentral:tmRNA from 1 species